UCCGAAUGCCAAUUAAUUUAACUUGGGAGUCAGAACAUGGGUGAUAAGGUCCGUGUUCGAAAGGGAAACAGCCCAGACCACCAGCUAAGGUCCCAAAAUAUAUGUUAAGUGGAAAAGGAUGUGGCGUUGCCCAGACAACUAGGAUGUUGGCUUAGAAGCAGCCAUCAUUUAAAGAGUGCGUAAUAGCUCACUAGUCGAGUGACACUGCGCCGAAAAUGUACCGGGGCUAAACAUAUUACCGAAGCUGUGGAUUGUCCUUUGGACAAUGGUAGGAGAGCGUUCUAAGGGCGUUGAAGCAUGAUCGUAAGGACAUGUGGAGCGCUUAGAAGUGAGAAUGCCGGUGUGAGUAGCGAAAGACGGGUGAGAAUCCCGUCCACCGAUUGACUAAGGUUUCCAGAGGAAGGCUCGUCCGCUCUGGGUUAGUCGGGUCCUAAGCUGAGGCCGACAGGCGUAGGCGAUGGAUAACAGGUUGAUAUUCCUGUACCACCUAUAAUCGUUUUAAUCGAUGGGGGGACGCAGUAGGAUAGGCGAAGCGUGCGAUUGGAUUGCACGUCUAAGCAGUAAGGCUGAGUAUUAGGCAAAUCCGGUACUCGUUAAGGCUGAGCUGUGAUGGGGAGAAGACAUUGUGUCUUCGAGUCGUUGAUUUCACACUGCCGAGAAAAGCCUCUAGAUAGAAAAUAGGUGCCCGUACCGCAAACCGACACAGGUAGUCAAGAUGAGAAUUCUAAGGUGAGCGAGCGAACUCUCGUUAAGGAACUCGGCAAAAUGACCCCGUAACUUCGGGAGAAGGGGUGCUCUUUAGGGUU
rnacentral:rRNA from 1 species